rnacentral:misc_RNA from 1 species
GAUGAAGAACGUAGCGAAAUGCGAUAAGUAAUGUGAAUUGCAGAAUUCAGUGAAUCAUCGAAUCUCUGAACGCACAUUGCGCCCCCUGGUAUUCCGGGGGGCAUGCCUGUUCGAGCGUCAUUUCACCACUCAAGCCUCGCUUGGUAUUGGGCAACGCGGUCCGCCGCGUGCCUCAAAUCGACCGGCUGGGUCUUCUGUCCCCUAAGCGUUGUGGAAACUAUUCGCUAAAGGGUGUUCGGGAGGCUACGCCGUAAAACAACCCCAUUUCUAAGGUUGACCUCGGAUCAGGUAGGGAUACCCGCUGAACUUAAGCAUAUCAAUAAGCGGAGGA